UGUAACUCUCCGACACCGAACAGAACUAAAAGAACUAUUUGCGACAGUGUAUGAAGGUUUUUAGCCACCGAAACUAUGGCGACGGCUUCAGGCGAAUCGUAGCGGCAGAGCUAAAUGGCAACGGCUCGACGAAGCCGUCGACUUAUUGCUUAAACGGCUACGAAAUGAUCCAAAUCAGAUAAAUCGAACGGCCACGGCUUAUGAAGUGGGUUAAUUAUAUGAUAUGCUUACACAUUUCGAUGGGAGGGGAUAAUCACCGCCGAUCAUCGUCGACCUCGUGGAAAAUCUCCGAUAAUAGCUCCGGUGAUCAGGUAUUCUCCACCUUCGUAUCGUAUCGGGGUCAUCUUCCUUCGCCUCUGGAGAUUAGGGAAGCCCUUCUCUCCGCGAUCCCAAUUUUUCUUCUUCGGGUUUUCUUUGUGUCCUGUUGGAUGGAGAAUGAAUUCUUUGAUACGGUUUUUAGUAAAAAAUCGUUGCAAAUUCGAAUCUGGAUAGCGUUCUUUCUCCUCUGCCUUUUCUCUUUGAUCCAUGAGGCUCUGUGAAUUCGAUUUUUCAUCAUGAUCAAAACUAGUUUAAUUAGAAGGUAAUUUAUACCUCUCCUUUGACUUGCAAGUGAGGAGAUCAUGACAUGCCUAUUGCGUGAUGCGCUUGGACAUUUGCGCAUGCAUACUGCAAAAACCAUUGGUUGUUCGGUUACUGUGUACAAAUUUAUCAUUCACCUCCGGAUGAGUCAUCGAUACCAUUAUUUUGAUUCUUGCAAAUUAAUCUUUUUUUCCUGGAGAUGAUUAAUUGAUGCAGAGACAAAACUAUCACUUGUCAGCUGAUGGAUCUGUAGUUGCUUUUUUUUUCGUCAUAUUUUGUGGUGCUUAAGUCUAAUUUUCUCUUCUGCUCUUACCAAAGUUCUGCUAAGAGACCUCAGUAAUUAAUACUAAUUUUCUCUUCUUGUUGCAACAAAAAUUCCUUCAUUUCUACCAUCUGCUCUGCAGAAACAGACCCAUUAGUUAGAAUUGUUGUUAUACAUCUAUCUAAUUCUGGUUUGUGAGAAAGAAGGUGUUUCAUUAGUUAGAAUUGUGAAGAUGGAUGAGCAGAUUGUCUCAGCCUUAGGAGAGGUAGGGAUCGACCUAAAAGUAUUGAGUCAUGUCAUUGGGGACGUUGUUGAGGCCCUACCAUCACAUCAAAUUAUGGCCUGUCAUCAUCACGUACAACAAGGCAAAGUAAAGAAGCCAAUUACAAAGUUUGGUGACAGUGGCUGCCUGAUCGGGCAGCCGAUAUCAACGUUGGAUGGAGUGGUAGAGCAAUUAAGAGCCUACUGUUGCUACACUAAACCGAGUAGAAUGCCGGCUGAUUUGGUCGUCUGAGGUGACGACAUCUAUUGGACGUUUAAAUCUGUCGAAGAGAAGAAGAACCGAGUCCGGCAUGGACAAAGGUAUGACGCUGUGGAAGCUAGGACUUCUCUUGUGUACUUUGGAUGACUAGUGGUUUUUGGGCAUGGAGCACACAACAAGUAGAGUGUUGGGAGAAUCUGCAGGUAUUUGACACCUAAAUAGGAGCACAUACGUCGGCAAUUUAUGGCGAGAUACGAUUGGUGGAUGGAAAAGGAUGACACUAUUCUCUCGCUCUCUUUCAUCCAUCAAUUACCACAUGACAAGUUGUCCCGUAUCAUUUAUGGAGUUCGUUUCUUUGUGGAAGGGCUUUUAGACCGCAGAGUGGCAUACCCAUGCACAGGCCUGCUGCACGUCUUUUACGCACUGACCUCGUUUCACUCGAUGCUGACUUUAUGGUGCAGGUGUUGGCAUGUGAACAUUCCACAGCUCAUUUCGUUGGGGAAAGGGUUCUAAAUGUGACAGGAGCAUUGACCUAAAGGAAUGGCAUUGGACAUGAUGGAACUUGAUGUGUUGGAAGCAAUGGUAUAUUGUGUCUCGCCCACUUGUCAUCAAUGACACCCAACUUGGAUUGUAUCGAGGAGAAUAAUCUUGUUCAAGAACAAAGACCAUGGCAUCCAUGAGAUCAUACUCUCAUCAUCACCACCUGUUUUCCAUCUUAUCUUGGGACGCAACUGUAGUCGUGCCCAUACCAUCAAACCUGUGGUGGGGAGGGAGAGACCCCGCGGUAUGGUGGCGGUGUCAAGAGACAAAAAGCUGAGAGGACUUUGUAGGACAAGGUUGAGGCAACAAGACAAGGAGGGGUUGCUGCUGACGGUGGGUGAGUAACAUCAGACUGCUGUAAAGGCUUCUUGGUCUCUUACAGAAAGCAGUGGAGGACAGAGAGACCCCUCCAAAAGGAACCAAUAUGAAGUCACAAAAUAGAUGCUCAAAUCCUAAUGGGGUUCAUUUCUGCCACCACCCAACACAUCCCACUUUGGGGAGUUCCCAGGUAAAUUUCACAUACUCUUGGGUGCGGUGGGCGUGUUCAUCAUUCUCAGUUAUCAACGAGAGAGGAACCAGCCAAUGCCUUCUCAUUGAUCAAAAACACGCCAAUCAAAUGGACAGCCGCCUACUUGAUUUACUUAGGUGGUAUAUUCUUCAAAAUGUCUCAAAGAAGCUAACGCUGCAGCUCCUAUUCAUCAUUCUAUCCGCCAUACAGAGGCAAAUUUUGGUGGAGGAAUUCCCUGAUAUCGGUAGCAGAUUUCUGUAAUCUUUUCAUAAAAGGAUUUCUUGCAACAGGUGGUAAUAUCUUCAAAAUUUGUCUCAAAGAAGCCAAGGCUGCAGCUCAUACUCAUUCGGUGUGAUAUACAGAGGAAAAUUUUGGUGGAGGGAAUUAAUUCCCUGAUAUCGGUAGUAGCAGAUUUUUUGCAUUCCUUUGAUAAAAAAGGUUUCUUCUCUUCGUAAAGAUUGCCAUCUCGACUUCAUUCAAAACCCAACUCCAUUAGUGACAGAGUGAGAAUACAAAGAGGUAUUUCCAUCGAAUGUUCCUUUUUCCUUUUUAAUAGGACCUUUCUAAUAUUUAUUUUCUUUUCUGGAC